GGGCUCAAGCAGUCCUCUACCUCCUGAGCAGCUGGGACUACAGAUGGCAGGAAUGAUCACAUAAUGCAGUGGUGAGGGGAAGGGAGUGAAAACCAAAAAGGAAUCUGGACAGAAGCAGAAAGGUAGAAGAGGAACAGAUUCAGACUGUAGGGCACCAAGGGAAGUUGAGUUUUCAGUAUAAAUAUGAAGUAAAACAACUGCUCUUUGGUUUAUGUUGUGUGUUCAAAUGAAAUAUCAGUAGGGAGCAAGAAAUGUAUGAAGGGCUUUCAUUUAGGAAGUUCCUUUUUUUUUUUUUUCUUAAUUGACCAGAAAGAAAAGUUAACUUUUUUUCAUGCAAGAUACCCAUUUUGUUCAUUCUUAAUUUGUUUACAUCAUUUUUUUUUUUUUUUCUUUUUUUGAGACAGGGUCUCACUCUGUUGCCCAGGCUGGAGUGCAGUGGCAUGAUCAUGGCUCACUGCUGUAGCCUUAACUUUCUGGUCUCAAGCAAUCCUCCUACCUCAUUCCCCUCAGUAGCUGGGACCACAGGUACACGUCACCACGCCCAGCUAAUUUUUUUUAUUUCUUGUAGACAUGAGGUCUUGCUGCAUUGCUUGGGCUGGUCUCAGAGUCCUAGGCUCAAGCAGCCCUCCAGCCUCAGCCUCCCAAAGUUGGAGGUGUGAGCCAACAUGCGUGGCCUAUUCUUCCCUUCUUAAAUGGUAGCAUAUUAUAUAUAUGGUUGUUUAAAAAAAUUUGGAGUAGAGGAAUUUUUAAUUCUGAUUUUCAUUAUACAAUUGAGAAAACUGAGGCCUGGACAGGUGAGUAGCUUUUCUAAGGUCAUGCAUUUACCAAGUGGCAUAUUAAAGUUUUGAACUUAGGUCUCUCCAAAGUACAUGCUUUUAUUUCUUAUUUGUUUAUUUUUUGAAAUGGAGUCUCACUCUGUCACCCAGGCUGGAGUGCAAUGGAGCAAUCUUGGCUCACUGCAACCUCCGCAUCAGCUGUUCAAGCGAUUCUUCUGCCCCAGCCUCCUGAGUAGCUGGGAUUACAGGCAUUCACCACCAUGCCUGGAUAAUUUUUGUAUUUUUUGUAGAGACAGAGUUUCGCCAUGUUCGCUAAGCUGGUCUCAAGCUCCUGGCCUCAGGUGAUCCACUCAUCUUGGCCUCCCAAAGUGCUGGGAUUACAGGCAUGAGCCACCGUGCCCAGCCAUGCUUUUAUUUAUACAGUAUUAUUAUACUUUAGGUUAUCAAGUUCAUAAAGUUAUUUAUCAUACUUCUUGGUCAAAAUCCUAACAGUGUAUAUACCACUUGCAUGACGUCUUUCCCAACUAGAAAUGAUCUUUCUCUCCUCAGAACUUCCAGAAUGGUUUAUACUGUUCUCCUUUUAAUGUGCUACUUUAAAUUGCAGUUGUUUGUAUGUAUUCAUAUCUACCUAGAAUGCAGGGCCCCUGAUAGAAAAAUGCUAUAUGUCAUUUAUCACUUUGCAUAAUAGGUGCUCUGGUACAAUUUAUUAAGUGAAUGGAUUCUUGCCAAUGGUAUUCAUGUGUAAACAAUACUCUGUUGUGUUCUAGCCAGAAAAUAUCAUGCUGUUAGACAUAUUUGCUUUCCGGUUACUAAGUACUACCAUUUAUGCCCUCCCGUUUUCAUUCAUUACUUGUUUGUGUUACCUUGAUGAUUUGCAAACUUUAGUGAAAUUUCAGUUUGGCAGUUAAGAGAAAAUGUUGUAAUAAAAGGAUGGCUGGUUAGAACUAUUGGAUACAGACUGAAAAUCCUUUUAUAUUCAUAGUCUUAGAAAUUUUGACUUAAUAAAGAGUACUUUUCCAUGUGC